ACACGACUACAUUAGAUACCCGCGUAGUCCCAGCCGUAAGCUAUGCGCGUUAGGUGUACUGGUGACCACGAGUCGACCGGGUGCCGAAGGGAAACCGUGAAACGUGCCGCCUGGGAAGUACGGUCGCAAGGCUGAAACUUAAAGGAAUUGGCGGGGAGCACCACAACGGGUGGAGCCUGCGGUUUAAUUGGACUCAACGCCGGAAAUCUCACCGGAUAGGACAGACAUAUGAUAGUCGGGCUGAAGACUCUACUUGAUGAUCUG
rnacentral:rRNA from 1 species